CAAAAACCAUGAGAUCAUGACCUGAGCCGAAAUCGAGAGUAGGACGCUCAACUGACUGAGCCACCAGGCGCCCCAAGAAUAACAUCUUUUAAUCAAAUCCUCCAAUUGAGUUUGACAUGAUCUGUUUUCCUACAGUUUGAAGUAGGAAGUGCUUUUAAAUACAAGUGUCUAAAUAAUAAACAGACUCACCAAACCUAGACUGAAAAUGAAGUUAAACAAGGAUAAUGAAUUUUGGUAGGUGUAAAUUUAUUAUUACAUAUAUAAUAGUUUGGUAGUUUGUUUUAGAAAAGGAAAGAACAGAUAAAUUGACUCCCUAGACCCCUUGUUGAGUUGAUCUGAAAAUACUACCUCUAAUAACAUUAUCCUUUGAUUGUUUGGUAUCCCUCUUUACACUGUUAAACUGUAAAUGGUUUAGCAAAUCACCAAACUAAACUAGUAAAGUUUGGGAUAUGGGCUUUUGAAGGAUAUUUAAAACUAAGUACCCAUAAUUAAGGGAGUGGUGACUUGCUGUGGUAGAGGGAAAAAUCAAAAGACAAGA